GAUCCUGGCUCAGGAUGAACGCUAGCGACAGGCUUAACACAUGCGAGUCGAGGGGCAGCAUGAUUUGUAGCAAUACAGAUUGAUGGCGACCGGCGCACGGGUGAGUAACGCGUAUGCAACUUACCUAUCAGAGGGGGAUAGCCCGGCGAAAGUCGGAUUAAUACCCCAUAAAACAGGGGUCCCGCAUGGGAAUAUUUGUUAAAGAUUCAUCGCUGAUAGAUACGGCAUGCG
rnacentral:rRNA from 1 species